GGGAGUGGCAGACGGGUGAGUAACGCGUGGGAACAUACCCUCCGGUUCGGAGUAACUCAGGGAAACUUGAGCUAAUACCGGAUACGGCUUAGCGGCGAAAGAUUGAUCGCCGGAGGAUUGGCCCGCGUUCGAUUAGCUAGUUGGUGAGGUAACGGCUCACCAAGGCGACGAUCGAUAGCUGGUCUGAGAGGAUGAUCAGCCACAUUGGGACUGAGACACGGCCCAAACUCCUACGGGAGGCAGCAGUGGGGAAUAUUGGACAAUGGGCGCAAGCCUGAUCCAGCCAUGCCGCGUGAGUGAUGACGGCCUUAGGGUUGUAAAGCUCUUUCGCUCGGGACGAUAAUGACGGUACCGAGAUAAGAAGCCCCGGCUAACU
rnacentral:rRNA from 1 species